GGAGGAAAGUAGGGGAUCGCAAGACCUUGUGCUUUUGGAGCGGCCGAUGCCUGAUUAGCUUGUUGGUGGGGUAAUGGCCUACCAAGGCUUCGAUCAGUAGCUGGUCUGAGAGGACGGCCAGCCACACUGGGACUGAGACACGGCCCAGACUCCUACGGGAGGCAGCAGUGGGGAAUUUUGGACAAUGGGCGAAAGCCUGAUCCAGCCAUGCCGCGUGAGUGAAGAAGGCCUUCGGGUUGUAAAGCUCUUUCAGCCGGAAAGAAAAGAUUGCAACUAAUAAUUGCAAUUCAUGACGGUACCGGAAGAAGAAGCACCGGCUAACUACGUGCCAGCAGCCGCGGUAAUACGUAGGGUGCGAGCGUUAAUCGGAAUUACUGGGCGUAAAGGGUGCGCAGGCGGUUUUGUAAGUCAGAUGUGAAAUCCCCGGGCUUAACCUGGGAACUGCGUUUGAAACUACAAAGCUAG
rnacentral:rRNA from 1 species